rnacentral:rRNA from 1 species
UUGCUGGGUGGAUUAGUGGCGAACGGGUGAGUAACACGUGAGUAACCUGCCCUUAACUCUGGGAUAAGCCUGGGAAACUGGGUCUAAUACCGGAUAGGAGCGCCUACCGCAUGGUGGGUGUUGGAAAGAUUUAUCGGUUUUGGAUGGACUCGCGGCCUAUCAGCUUGUUGGUGAGGUAAUGGCUCACCAAGGCGACGACGGGUAGCCGGCCUGAGAGGGUGACCGGCCACACUGGGACUGAGACACGGCCCAGACUCCUACGGGAGGCAGCAGUGGGGAAUAUUGCACAAUGGGCGCAAGCCUGAUGCAGCGACGCCGCGUGAGGGAUGACGGCCUUCGGGUUGUAAACCUCUUUCAGUAGGGAAGAAGCGAAAGUGACGGUACCUGCAGAAGAAGCACCGGCUAACUACGUGCCAGCAGCCGCGGUAAUACGUAGGGUGCGAGCGUUAUCCGGAAUUAUUGGGCGUAAAGAGCUCGUAGGCGGUUUGUCGCGUCUGUCGUGAAAGUCCGGGGCUUAACCCCGGAUCUGCGGUGGGUACGGGCAGACUAGAGUGCAGUAGGGGAGACUGGAAUUCCUGGUGUAGCGGUGGAAUGCGCAGAUAUCAGGAGGAACACCGAUGGCGAAGGCAGGUCUCUGGGCUGUAACUGACGCUGAGGAGCGAAAGCAUGGGGAGCGAACAGGAUUAGAUACCCUGGUAGUCCAUGCCGUAAACGUUGGGCACUAGGUGUGGGGACCAUUCCACGGUUUCCGCGCCGCAGCUAACGCAUUAAGUGCCCCGCCUGGGGAGUACGGCCGCAAGGCUAAAACUCAAAGGAAUUGACGGGGGCCCGCACAAGCGGCGGAGCAUGCGGAUUAAUUCGAUGCAACGCGAAGAACCUUACCAAGGCUUGACAUGUUCUCGAUCGCCGUAGAGAUACGGUUUCCCCUUUGGGGCGGGUUCACAGGUGGUGCAUGGUUGUCGUCAGCUCGUGUCGUGAGAUGUUGGGGUUAAGUCCCGCAACGAGCGCAACCCUCGUUCCAUGUUGCCAGCACGUAAUGGUGGGGACUCAUGGGAGACUGCCGGGGUCAACUCGGAGGAAGGUGAGGACGACGUCAAAUCAUCAUGCCCCUUAUGUCUUGGGCUUCACGCAUGCUACAAUGGCCGGUACAAUGGGUUGCGAUACUGUGAGGUGGAGCUAAUCCCAAAAAGCCGGUCUCAGUUCGGAUUGGGGUCUGCAACUCGACCCCAUGAAGUCGGAGUCGCUAGUAAUCGCAGAUCAGCAACGCUGCGGUGAAUACGUUCCCGGGCCUUGUACACACCGCCCGUCAAGUCACGAAAGUCGGUAACACC